ensembl:lncRNA
AUCACGGCAUGCGCGGAUGGAGCCUCUCGCUGCGCGGGCGGACCUCCCUCCAAGAGCGACCCCUGGUCAUCAGUCAUCGGGGCCCCCAUCGCCUUCUGCGCAGCCGAUGGUUUCACCAGAUCCACGGGGCCUGGGUCCCAAGCUGCCCUUUUCCACAGGUAAACAACCGAGACAGCAUAUUCAAAAGCAGAGACAUUGCUUUGCCAACAAAGGUCCAUCUAGUCACAGCUAUGGUUUUCCCAGUAGUCAUGUGUGGAUGUGAGA